GCACCAGUCAUGCGCACAUUUUGCAGUGUUUCAAGAAAGUGAAACAACGGCGUUUUGAAUUUGUAGGGAAGAAAAGUGAUAUAUAAAGUCAGACAGAUAAGCUCCAACUCACAAAACCUCACAAAAAGAAACAUGAAAGCUUUCAAAAGUUUUGUACUUGUUAUCUGUGUUUGUCUUAUUCUGAAUGGUAACGUCGCUUCCGCAGUAAGUGUUUUUAAAUCUGAUUAUAAAUAGAUACUGGCAACGGUUUAACCUGUAGCAAUGUAGCAAUUCAUAAAAGUGUGUCACUGUAACGGCCACUGAAACGCUUGCAGUUUGCAUAGGAAUUAUGAAAUUUGUUU
rnacentral:lncRNA from 1 species